rnacentral:lncRNA from 10 species
UGUCUAUUUGAUUUUUAUCUCUUUUCUUCUUUAUUAGUCUGGCUAGCUGUCUAUCUAUUUGCUGAUCUUUUAUGUGAGUUCAUUAAAAAGACAUAUGUCUUAAUUUUUAAUGUAGUGUUCCUCAUUUUACCCCAAAAGUGUUAUUAAAUUAAUGAUGUGUUUUACUUAGAGUUAAUGACUUAAUAAAUUUAAUGAAAUAUGAGAUUUUUUGCUUCUAAAUAAUGCAAAAUGGGAGGGAUUAUAUCAGAGACCUCUAAAGAAAAACUGAAGCAACCAAGUAUUUGUGGAUCAAGAUUUCUAAAUAUUCAAUCACUAGUGUAUAUGCUCAUGUUACUGCCUUUGGAAAGUUUGGCUUUAAAGUAAGUAUGCAAACAUAACAUAUUGUUCACAUUUACUCCUGAAAAAAUCCUUGUAAGAGCAAUAUAUUGGAAAUAAAAUUCUCACCAUAAGCCCAUGCUGCAUUAUUUUUUCCCAGUGCUGAAAGAAAGAGCUCCUUCUUUUUUCUUUUUUCUCUUUCUUUCCCUCCCUUCCUUCUUUUCUUUCUUUCACUCUUUUUGUUUUCCUAUUAGGCAUAAAAGACUUGCUAAAAAAGGAAGAAAAAAAUACUCCUUACUCAUUUAAAUACUGGAAUUUUGCUCAUUCCAUUUAGAUGUUUGUACUGAGAGGGUCAGAAAGAAGAAACCACAAAUUCAAAUCUUUGAUCUCAUGUUUACUCCGGAGAAUGAAUUUACUGAGUAAAAUCAAUUUAUUUAAGUUACUAUUUAUUAUUUUGUUUUAUUUUUCUUUGUUAUUGGGUUGAUUUCUCAGA